ACGAUAUGUGUAUAAAUUUGACAGCAGUCUGACUUUUGAUUCGUCUGUUAUUGCAUUUUGAGUCAGCAACUUUUGUUAUUGAAAAAAAAAUUUAAAAAGUAAAUUUCAUGUGUUGAUAAAGCAUUGCUUUUUGAUAAAAAAAAUACAGUGAAAACCAAACAAUGGCUGAAUAAAUAUUAUUCGGACUCUGCUCCAUCGAGACAAAUGGUAGAGAAGUGGAUUGCAGACUUUAAAAUCCACAAACUAGUUUUAAACGAUCGCAAAUUGAAGGUGCACGAGCAGACAUUAUAAAGACAUUAAAUUGUAGUGUCUUUAUUUGAGUACGCGAAGGCUAUGUACAAAAAUUCAAUAAAUUGGGCUUCGCAUUGCUUAACCACCUACCCAAACCCAAAUGUGGUAUCGAAAAGUUGGAAAAUCGCUAUACUCUUUGCAUCGCCUUCGAAUCCAGCUAUUUGAAUAUUUGCUUCGCAGUUGAGAAUUUGAAUAAUUUAUCAUGGACUUCUUCUUCGAUAACCUCAUUUUCUCGUUCUUCAUUAUAAUCGUCCGUUUGUGAAUCACUGUAAAGUAAAAAAGUUUAUCAUAUUUUAUUAUGAUGAUUAUUAAAUAAGAGUGUGUGGUUGGUUUUAUGAAAACACAAUGAAAAUGAAACUUUUUACAUAUGGAUUCAAUGAAGGGUAUUAAAAUCGCGUCUUUAUACUUAACUUAAUAAUAAAUAAAGAAAUGAUAAUGUUUAACAAGAUAACCUGCUAUAUAUUAUUAUUUAAGUUUGCGUAUUAAAAUACCCAAAUAACUGCAAUCAUUCAGAUGAUAUACACAUCUCAAAAACUAAGAACAAUUUAUAUUCAAAUCGCUAAAUUUCUUUGAGCUUCAAAUACUCCAUCAAGGCGAAGAUGCCAACUUCAUCAAACCACAGUUAAUAAAUGUAUCUAAUAUUUGAUGUAAGUAGAGCAAAUUUCUCAUUCUUCAAAUUUGUACUGAAAUCACCAGUCGUGGAUAUACUCACCGAGGAAACCCUACUACCACCAACUUUAACUCCGGCAAUUAGCCGGUCCCAAGCCCGUGUUGUGAAAAAAGAAGGGUUGGAUGAGGUACCCCGAAUAGCUUCUAGUAAGCGUCUCAGGAAGUAGGAGGAAGAAACGUACAGUACCCUAUGAAAGACCCAUCCACCUUUUAGCAGAAGGUUAAAAUCAUGUAGUACAUCAGUACAUUUCCGCCUCCCAGGCGUUUAGAAGCAUUAACUAUUGUAACAGAAUUUUGUAUUACAAGUCAUAAUAAUUCUUCUGAAAAAUAAAAUAAAAUUUAUCAUUGUAAGAUAAAUCAAGAGAUAAUUG